rnacentral:rRNA from 1 species
UUCUUGGAGAGUUUGAUCCUGGCUCAGGACGAACGCUGGCGGCGUGCCUAAUACAUGCAAGUCGAGCGAAAGUU